UACGGAGGGUGCAAGCGUUUAAUCGGAAUUACUGGGCGUAAAGCGUGCGUAGGCGGUUCGUUAGGUCUGUUGUGAAAGCCCCGGGCUCAACCUGGGAAUGGCAAUGGAUACUGGCGAGCUAGAGUGUGUCAGAGGAUGGUGGAAUUCCCGGUGUAGCGGUGAAAUGCGUAGAGAUCGGGAGGAACAUCAGUGGCGAAGGCGGCCAUCUGGGACAACACUGACGCUGAGGCACGAAAGCGUGGGGAGCAAACAGG
rnacentral:rRNA from 1 species